rnacentral:rRNA from 1 species
AACGAACGCUGGCGGCAUGCCUAACACAUGCAAGUCGAACGAGACCUUCGGGUCUAGUGGCGCACGGGUGCGUAACGCGUGGGAAUCUACCCUUGGGUUCGGAAUCACAGUUAGAAAUGACUGCUAAUACCGGAUGAUGACGUAAGUCCAAAGAUUUAUCGCCCAAGGAUGAGCCCGCGUACGAUUAGCUUGUUGGUGGGGUAAUGGCCUACCAAGGCGACGAUCUUUAGCUGGUCUGAGAGGAUGAUCAGCCACACUGGGACUGAGACACGGCCCAGACUCCUACGGGAGGCAGCAGUGGGGAAUAUUGGACAAUGGGCGAAAGCCUGAUCCAGCAAUGCCGCGUGAGGGAUGAAGGCCUUAGGGUUGUAAAGCUCUUUUACCAGGGAUGAUAAUGACAGUACCUGGAGAAUAAGCUCCGGCUAACUCCGUGCCAGCCGCCGCAGUAA